rnacentral:rRNA from 1 species
GGGCCCGCACAAGCGGUGGAGCAUGUGGUUUAAUUCGAUGAUACGCGAGGAACCUUACCAGGGCUUAAAUGUAAGUUGCAUAAGUUAGAGAUAGCUUUUUCUUCGGACUACUUACAAGGUGCUGCAUGGUUGUCGUCAGCUCGUGCCGUGAGGUGUCAGGUUAAGUCCUAUAACGAGCGCAACCCCUGUUGUUAGUUGCCAUCGAGUAAUGUCGGGAACUCUAACAAGACUGCCGGUGCAAACCGUGAGGAAGGUGGGGAUGACGUCAAAUCAUCACGGCCCUUACGUCCUGGGCUACACACGUGCUACAAUGGCCGGUACAGAGAGCAGCCACUACGCGAGUAGGAGCGAAUCUAUAAAACCGGUCUCAGUUCGGAUCGGAGUCUGCAACUCGACGGCAUG